GACAGACAGACAGACAGACAGAGUGAGAACGACAGACAGUUAGAGAGAAAGAGAGAUUGCUAGGGGACGGAGGAGUACCAGAGGUGAUUAAUUGUUCUUCUCUCUUUCACUCAUGCAGAUCGGACAUCCUGCCAGAUGAGACAUGACAAGGACAGGAAGUAGAACAGGAAUGAGGAAGUGGACUAAUGGAGAACAAGUCGUCUGGAGUUGUUCAUCAGUGCCGAGGACCUUUUCUAGCGAUAAAUCCAUUGGAGCAGCGACAUGCUAUAAUAGAGAGGGUCAGAAGGGAAGGAGCGACGACCCUGUCUUUCAGCAGGGAGACCAGGAGAGGAUGCCGAGGGAGGCCCCAGUCAGAGCACGGCAGGGAGACCAGGAGAGGAUGCCGAGGGAGGCCCCAGUCGGAGCACGGCAGGGAAACCAGGAGAGGAUGCCGAGGGAGGCCCCAGUCGGAGCACGGCAGGGAGACCAGGAGAGGAUGCCGAGGGAGGCCCCAGUCGAGACAGACAGUCAAAAAGGGCCAUGCUACUUUUAAAGCUCUUAAGAAUUUUUGUAAUCUGUUUGCCUUAUACUAACUGAUUAAUGAGCCCACCAGGAUCUGUCCUUCUACCCAAACCAUCAUUGACCUUGUGUUGGUGUCGGAUAGAUCAAGGAUUUGAAACACUAUGGGCUCAGGGAUCAUUCAAUCAUUUUCUAUAGU